rnacentral:rRNA from 1 species
UACGUAGGGUGCAAGCGUUGUCCGGAAUUAUUGGGCGUAAAGAGCUCGUAGGCGGUUUGUCGCGUCUGCUGUGAAAACUCGGGGCUUAACCCCGGGCCUGCAGUGGGUACGGGCAGACUAGAGUUCGGUAGGGGAGACUGGAAUUCCUGGUGUAGCGGUGAAAUGCGCAGAUAUCAGGAGGAACACCGGUGGCGAAGGCGGUUCUCUGGGCAUUACCUGACGCUGAGGAGCGAAAGUGUGGGGAGCGAACAGG